rfam:Opisthorchis viverrini opera_v5_373.12, whole genome shotgun sequence.
GCCUACCUGAUGAACCCCAAAUAGGGCGAAACCGGUCGUGGGC